rnacentral:rRNA from 1 species
AUUGAACGCUGGCGGCAGGCUUAACACAUGCAAGUCGAGCGAGCGGCGGACGGGUGCGUAAUGUCUGGGAAACUGCCUGAUGGAGGGGGAUAACUACUGGAAACGGUAGCUAAUACCGCAUACCAUCGGAUGUGCCCUGAUGGGAUUAGCUAGUAGGUGGGGUAAAGGCUCACCUAGGCGACGAUCCCUAGCUGGUCUGAGAGGAUGACCAGCAACACUGAAACUGAGACACGGGCCAGACUCAUACUGGAGGCAGCAGGGGAGAAUAUUGCACAAUGGGGGCAAGCCUGAGGAAGCCAUGGCGCGUGUGUGAAGAAGGCCGUCGGGUUGUAAAGUACUUUCAGCGGGGAGACGUAACCCGCAGAAAAAGCACAGGCUAACACCGUGCCAGAAGCAGGGGUAAUUC